rnacentral:piRNA from 1 species
UGAAACUGAAAUNGUUUGGGGACCUCAGA